AUACGAGGGGGGCAAGCGUUGUUCGGAAUUAUUGGGCGUAAAGGGUGCGUAGGCGGUUUGAUAAGUUUGAUGUGAAAUCUCUGGGCUCAACCCAGAGUCUGCAUCGAAAACUGUCGGGCUUGAGUAUGGGAGAGGUGAGUGGAAUUUCCGGUGUAGCGGUGAAAUGCGUAGAUAUCGGAAGGAACACCUGUGGCGAAAGCGGCUCACUGGACCAUUACUGACGCUGAUGCACGAAAGCUAGGGGAGCAAACAGGAUUAGAUACCCUGGUAGUCCUAGCCCUAAACGAUGAUUGCUUGAUGUGGUGGGUACCCAAUCCCGCCGUGUCGAAGCUAACGCGAUAAGCAAUCCGCCUGGGGAGUACGGUCGCAAGGCUGAA
rnacentral:rRNA from 1 species